GAUGAACGCUGGCGGCGUGCCUAAUACAUGCGAGUCGAGCGAACAGACGAGGAGCUUGCUCCUCUGACGUUAGCGGCGGACGGGUGAGUAACACGUGGAUAACCUACCUAUAAGACUGGGAUGACUUCGGGAAACCGGAGCUAAUACCGGAUAAUAUAUUGAACCGCAUGGUUCAAUAGUGAAAGACGGUUUUGCUGUCACUUAUAGAUGGAUCCGCGCCGCAUUAGCUAGUUGGUAAGGUAACGGCUUACCAAGGCAACGAUGCGUAGCCGACCUGAGAGGGUGAUCGACCACACUGGAACUGAGACACGGUCCAGACUCCUACGGGAGGCAGCAGUAGGGAAUCUUCCGCAAUGGGCGAAAGCCUGACGGAGCAACGCCGCGUGAGUGAUGAAGGUCUUCGGAUCGUAAAACUCUGUUAUUAGGGAAGAACAAAUGUGUAAGUAACUAUGCACGUCUUGACGGUACCUAAUCAGAAAGCCACGGCUAACUACGUG
rnacentral:rRNA from 1 species